rnacentral:tRNA from 1 species
UCCCUGGUAGCUCAGCUGGUAAAGAAUCAGCCUGCCGUGCUGGAGACCUGGGUUUGAUCCCUGGUUUGGGAA